rnacentral:rRNA from 1 species
AGAGUUUGAUCCUGGCUCAGAACGAACGCUGAUGGCGUGCCUCAUACAUGCAAGUCGAGCGGGGAGCAAUCCCAGCGGCGAACGGGUGAGUAACACGUAAGUAAUCUGCCCCCUAGUUGGGGAUAACCAGCCUAACGGCUGAUUAAUACCGGAUAUAGUUGCAGGCCGCAUGGCUUUGUAACGAAAGGCUUCGGCCGCUGGGGGAUGAACUUGCGUCGCAUUAGCUAGUUGGAGGGGUAACGGCCCACCAAGGCUUCGAUGCGUAGCCGGCCUGAGAGGGUGAACGGCCACAUUGGGACUGAGAUACGGCCCAGACUCCUACGGGAGGCAGCAGUAGGGAAUUUUGCGCAAUGGGGGAAACCCUGACGCAGCAACGCCAUGUGAGGGAUGAAGCAUUUAGGUGUGUAAACCUCUGUCAGCAGGGAAUAAAUGUCCGUUUACGGAAGUUGAAUGUACCUGCAAAGGAAGCACCGGCUAACUUCGUGCCAGCAGCCGCGGUAAUACGAGGGGUGCAAGUGUUGUUCGGAAUCACUGGGCGUAAAGGGAGCGUAGGCGGACCUUUAAGUCAGAUGUUUAAUUUCAGGGCCCAACCCUGAAUUUGCGUUUGAAACUGGAGGUCUUGAAUAUAUGUAGAGGUGAAUGGAAUUCCCGGUGUAGCGGUGGAAUGCGUAGAUAUCGGGAGGAACACCAGUUGCGAAGGCGAUUCACUGGACUAAUAUUGACGCUGAGGCUCGAAAGCGUGGGGAGCGAACAGGAUUAGAUACCCUGGUAGUCCACGCCGUAAUCGAUGAAUACUAGGUGCUGGGUUGGUUAACGACUUGGUGCCGUAAGCAAACGCGUUAAGUAUUCCGCCUGGGGAGUACGCUCGCAUGAGUGAAACUCAAAGGAAUUGACGGGGGCCCGCACAAGCGGUGGAGGAUGUGGUUUAAUUCGAAGCAACGCGAAGAACCUUACCAAGACUUGACAUGGGAGCGACUGUACGAGAAAUCGUGCUUUGUUAGUUUACUAACACGCUCCACACAGGUGCUGCAUGGCUGUCGUCAGCUCGUGUCGUGAGAUGUUGGGUUAAGUCCCGCAACGAGCGCAACCCUCGUUUCUAGUUGUCAUCAGGUUAUGCUGGACCCUCUAGAGAGACUGCCGUGAACAACACGGAGGAAGGUGGGGACGACGUCAAGUCAUCAUGGCCCUUACGUCUUGGGCUACACACGUCCUACAAUGGUCGGUACAGCGGGUUGCGAAAUCGCGAGAUGGAGCUAAUCCCACAAAGCCGGCCUCAGUUCGGAUUGCAGUCUGCAACUCGACUGCAUGAAGUUGGAAUCGCUAGUAAUCGCGGGUCAGCACACCGCGGUGAAUACGUUCCCGGGCCUUGUACACACCGCCCGUCAAGCCAUGGAAGAAGGGGGCGCUCUAAGUCGUGAUGGUAACCGCAAGGAACCUAGCGCCUAAAGCGAAACUUUUGACUGGGGCUAAGUCGUAACAAGGUA